rnacentral:rRNA from 1 species
UGGGGAAUUGUUCGCAAUGGGCGCAAGCCUGACGACGCAACGCCGCGUGGAGGACGAAGAUCUUCGGGUCGUAAACUCCUGUCGAGCGGGAAGAAACCCGCGGAGGUGAACAGCCUCUGCGGUUGACGGUACCGCUAAAGGAAGCCCCGGCUAACUCCGUGCCAGCAGCCGCGGUAAUACGGGGGGGGCAAGCGUUGUUCGGAAUUACUGGGCGUAAAGGGCUCGUAGGCGGCCAACUAAGUCGGAUGUGAAAUCCCCAGGCUCAACCUGGGAACUGCAUCCGAUACUGGAUGGCUUGAAUCCGGGAGAGGGAUGCAGAAUUCCAGGUGUAGCGGUGAAAUGCGUAGAUAUCUGGAGGAAUACCGGUGGCGAAGGCGGCAUCCUGGACCGGCAUUGACGCUGAUGAGCGAAAGCCAGGGGAGCGAAACGGGAUUAGGGUACCCCGGUAGU